GGGAGACGGCGGCGCGGGGAGAAGGGAGAAGCCAAUGGCGUUCCGCGCGGCCGUUCCAGGGGAUUAUGUGGCAAUUCGGAGCAUUCCGUCGGUGUCUCGGUGUUCCAUUCCGCGCGCCCGCCCGCCUAGCCGCCACCGCCCCCCCACACACGCCCUCCCCGCCCGGGUCGCGGGCUCUGGAGCGCAGGCCCCGCCCGCUCCCCCCACUUUGCCGGGGCGAACCAGCCGCGUAGCUGGGCUCAUUGAAUAUUAAUCACGCGCCGGGAGCGGGAAGGCGGGCGGCGGGCAGGGCGGGAGCUCCACAAGGGCCUCAUGAAUAUGCAUCAUUAGCAUGACGGCAUUCCUGGGAGAAGUGGAGAGAGCUGGAGGACGGCGGAGAGGCGGGGCUUCAGGCCGUAUGCGGGAAGGAAAAGGCAAUGGGCUGCUGUCUUGUUUUUUCCCAUUGACCUUAAAGUUUGAAGUAACUUAACGACAACGCAAAGCAGUGGAAAGUAGAAGAAAUGGACUGGAGACGUGGGAUAUGAGAUCGGUCCUGUGUGUUCCCUCUUACGUCUUACCUUGGUUUUUCUUAAAACAUUAAGAAGAAGAAAAAAAAAAAACGUUUUCUGCUCCUACAAUGUUUAGUUGUGGUCUGAAAAGUUGCAUUUUCUCAUCGAUUUAAACAAUAUUGUAGGCUAGACUAGAACAGGUUGCUAUUCAAAAGAAUUUAGUAAACAUUUGUAAUUGAAUUACCAUUCCCCCAGAUUUAUUUUUAUAAAUUUUCACAUGUGAGACUUGUCAACUGCCUCUAUCCAGGGCCUCCCUUAACUUCAAUAAGGUUAGUAAACCUGGUGGGACAUUAGGGGGUGGGGGCAAACAAGCAAGGAGAGAAAAGAGAGAGAUCAGGGGCACCUGUCUGGGUCAGUCAAGGGAGCAUGAGACUCUUGAUCUCUGGGCUGUGAGUUUGAGCCCCAUCUUGGGUAUAGAGAUUAUUUAAAAAUUAAAAAAAAAAAUCUUUAAAAAAAAAUCAGCUGGAACUUGUCGCUGAAAUAAUAGAAAUUGGUAAGGGCAAGUUAAAGCCAUACUUAGGUUAUCUACACUGUUUCACUGAAGAGGAAUGGAGGAAGCUACCAGUAUGAAAAUAAAUAUUUCUCUUGAUGCUGGAAA